rnacentral:rRNA from 1 species
UACGAAGGGGGCUAGCGUUGCUCGGAAUCACUGGGCGUAAAGCGCACGUAGGCGGCUUGUUAAGUCAGGGGUGAAAUCCUGGAGCUCAACUCCAGAACUGCCCUUGAUACUGGCGAGCUCGAGUUCGGGAGAGGUGAGUGGAACUGCGAGUGUAGAGGUGAAAUUCGUAGAUAUUCGCAAGAACACCAGUGGCGAAGGCGGCUCACUGGCCCGAUACUGACGCUGAGGUGCGAAAGCGUGGGGAGCAAACAGG